rnacentral:rRNA from 1 species
GAUCAUGGCUCAGGAUGAACGCUAGCUACAGGCUUAACACAUGCAAGUCGAGGGGCAGCAUUUUAGUUUGCUUGCAAACUGAAGAUGGCGACCGGCGCACGGGUGAGUAACACGUAUCCAACCUGCCGAUAACUCCGGAAUAGCCUUUCGAAAGAAAGAUUAAUACCGGAUAGCAUACGAAUAUCGCAUGAUAUUUUAUUAAAGAUUUAUCGGUGAUGGAUGGGG